rnacentral:rRNA from 1 species
UACAGAGGUCCCAAGCGUUGUUCGGAUUCAUUGGGCGUAAAGGGUGCGUAGGCGGCGCGGAAAGUCGGGUGUGAAAUCUCGGGGCUUAACUCCGAAACUGCAUUCGAUACUGCCGUGCUUGAGGACUGGAGAGGAGACUGGAAUUUACGGUGUAGCGGUGAAAUGCGUAGAUAUCGUAAGGAAGACCAGUGGCGAAGGCGGGUCUCUGGGCAGUUCCUGACGCUGAGGCGCGAAGGCCAGGGGAGCAAACGGG